rnacentral:rRNA from 1 species
AAUUCGAUUGAGUUUGAUCAUGGCUCAGGAUGAACGCUGGCGGCGUGCUUAACACAUGCAAGUCAAGGGGGCCCUAGGCGCAAGCCUGGGGCAACCGGCGAACGGGUGCGUAACACGUGAGCAACCUACCUAGGUGUGGGGGAUAGCCGGCCCAACGGCCGGGUAAUACCGCAUACGCUCUUCUUUAGGCAUUUAGAGAAGAGGAAACCUUCGGGGCACCAUGAGGGGCUCGCGGCCUAUCAGCUAGUUGGCGAGGUAACGGCUCACCAAGGCUACGACGGGUAGCUGGUCUGAGAGGAUGGCCAGCCACAUUGGGACUGAGAAACGGCCCAGACUCCUACGGGAGGCAGCAGUGGGGAAUCUUGCGCAAUGGCCUAACGGCUGACGCAGCGACGCCGCGUGAGGGAUGACGCUCUUCGGAGUGUAAACCUCUUUUGCCUGGAACGAACUAUCGGCAUUCGUCGAUUUGACGGUACCGGGUGAAUAAGCACCGGCUAACUCCGUGCCAGCAGCCGCGGUAAUACGGGGGGUGCGAGCGUUGUCCGGAAUCACUGGGCGUAAAGGGCGCGUAGGUGGCGUGAUAAGGGUGUGGUGAAAGCCCGGGGCUCAACCCCGGGUCGGCCAUGCCGACUGUCAGGCUAGAGUACUGUAGGGGCAGGCGGAAUUCCGGGUGUAGCGGUGGAAUGCGUAGAGAUCCGGAGGAAGACCGGUGGCGAAGGCGGCCUGCUGGGCAGUUACUGACACUGAGGCGCGACAGCGUGGGGAGCAAACAGGAUUAGA